AGCGAACGCUGGCGGCAGGCUUAACGCAUGCAAGUCGAGCGGGCACUUUCGGGUGUCAGCGGCGGACGGGUGCGUAACGCGUGGGAACGUGCCCUCUGGUUCGGAAUAACUCAGGGAAACUUGAGCUAAUACCGGAUACGCCCUUUUGGGGAAAGGCUUGCUGCCGGAGGAUCGGCCCGCGUCUGAUUAGCUAGUUGGUGAGGUACCGGCUCACCAAGGCGACGAUCAGUAGCUGGUCUGAGAGGAUGAUCAGCCACACUGGGACUGAGACACGGCCCAGACUCCUACGGGAGGCAGCAGUGGGGAAUAUUGGACAAUGGGCGCAAGCCUGAUCCAGCCAUGCCGCGUGAGUGAUGAAGGCCUUAGGGUUGUAAAGCUCUUUUAUCCGGGACGAUAAUGACGGUACCGGAGGAAUAAGCCCCGGCUAACUUCGUG
rnacentral:rRNA from 1 species